GCACUAUCAUUUUCUAUGUUCAGUGGACCAUGAAAUUGGGGUCAAAACUAUAAUUUGGCAUUAAAAUUAGAAAGAUCAUAUCAUGGGAAACAUGUGUAUUAAGUUUCAAGUUGAUUGGACUUCAGCUUCAUCAAAAACUAACUCGACCAAAAACUUUAACCGGACGGACGAACGGACGCACAGACGGGCGGACGGACGGACGAACGGAGGCACAGACCAGAAAACAUAAUGCCCCUCUACUAUCGUAGGUGGGGCAUAAAAACAUAAU
rnacentral:lncRNA from 1 species